GGAUAGGGUGCCCGGGAGAACUAAGGAGAGGAGUUCGGGGUCGGGGCGCGGGAAGGCGGGAGGUGCCCGGCAACCCUAGGAGCCCGGCGCGGGGCACGAUGGGACGCCCCCGGGAAGAGGCGGAGCUGGGUUCGAGCGCUGGGGCUGCGGUUGGGAAACUACUGGAGGAUGUGGUGCACCAGAAUAAGAGAAUAAACCAAGAAACAGGAAGACGUGAUCCAGGCAACAGGAUAUUCCAGUAUAGUGUUGGAAACAGAAGCCCAGUAGUGAAAGCUACAGCUGCCAUAUACUUGCAGUGGAAUCACAGGAGCAAUCACAGGUCUUUGUAAGUGGCAGUAACAACUCACUUGACUUUCCUUCACCUGACACUGUCACCUAUCACAACACUGGCCAUCAAACUGGUAGAACAACCAGUCCUCUGAUUUGGUUUCCUAGGGAAGGCAGUUGUUCGGCUCAAUGUUUUGUUAACAUCAAGGCUCUUAUUCUUGCAUUUGAAACCAAACACCUCAAUCAUUUUGCUUGCACCAGGGUUGGUACAAGAAGGCACGGUCCUUCUUGGGUGGGUAUUUUGCAUUGUCACAAAUACUCUUAUUUAGAGAAAACCAACUCUGAAACCCUAAAACUAGUAUCUAGUAAAGGAAGAGAUUCAGUUCUAUCAAGCAAUAUAUUUUUCAGUCAAGAGUGACGCUGUAAGUAUAGAUUCAGCAGUAUAAACAUAUUACCAAAAGCUUGGAUUUUUAUUUAUGCAUUUUAUUUUUGAGAUGGAGUUUCGCUCUUGUUGCCCAGGCUGGAGUGCAAUGGCGCGAUCUCGGCUCACUGUGACCUGCGCCUCCCGGGUUCAAGCAAUUCUCCUGCCUCAGCCUCCCAAGUAGCUGGGAUUACAGGCAUGCGCCACCACACCCGGCUAAUUUUUUUUUUUUUUUUUUUUUUUUUAGUAGAGACAGGGUUUCUCCAUGUUGGUCAGGCUAGUCUCAAACUCCCGACCUCAGGUGAACUGCCCGCCUGGGCCUCCCAAGUGCUGGGAAUACUGGCGUGAGCCACCGCGCCUGGCCUGUUUAUUUUAAAAUUAAUUGUUUUUUUUUGAGAGGGAAUCUUGCUCUGUUACCCAGGCUGGAGUGCAGUGGUGCAAUCUCAGCUCACUGCAACCUCUGCCUCCUGGGUUCAAGUAGAUUCUCUCACCUCAGACUCCCGAGUAGCUGGGAUUAUAGGCAUGCACCACCACACCGACUAAUUUUUGUAUUUUUAGCAGAGACGGGGUUUCGCCAUGUUGGCCAGGCUGGUCUUGAUCUCCUGACCUCAGGUAAUCCACCUGCCUUGGUAAGUGUUGGGAUUACAAGCAUGAGCCACUGUGCCCGGCCCACUUGCUUUUAUUUAAUAACUUGCUAAAAAAUAAAAACAAAAAACAUUAGCACUUACAUGUGGCUCCAUGAUGUCUUUCUGGUAAUUCUGGAAACUUUUUGGGUUAUAGAAUUUGAAGAAUCUAUUUAGAGCUAUAGAACUCCUCUUAAUCCUCCCCAAGUUGUACUCAACAGAUUUAUUCCUUGCUCCCUAAAACCUAUCCUUAGAAAUUGCAAGUUGAGAAUUCAC
rnacentral:lncRNA from 10 species